GAUGAACGCUGGCGGCGUGCCUAAUACAUGCAAGUCGAGCGGACGGACGAUAAGCUUGCGUCUCUGAUGUUAGCGGCGGACGGGUGAGUAACACGUGGAUAACCUACCUAUAAUUCGGGGAUAACUUCGUAAAACCGGAUCUAAUACCAGAGGAUAUUUUGAACCGCAUGGUUCAAAAGUGAAAGACGGUCUUGCUGUCACUUAUAGAUGGAUCCGCGCUGCAUUAGCUAGUUGGUAAGGUAACGGCUUACCAAGGCGACGAUGCAUAGCCGACCUGAGAGGGUGAUCGGCCACACUGGAACUGAGACACGGUCCAGACUCCUACGGGAGGCAGCAGUAGGGAAUCUGCGGCAAUGGGCGAAAGCCUGACGGAGCAACGCCGCGUGAGUGAUGAAGGCCUUCGGAUCGUAAAACUCUGUUAUUAGGGAAGAACAGCUGUGUAAGUAAAUGUGCACAUCUUGACGGUACCUAAUCAGAAAGCAACGGCUAACUACGUG
rnacentral:rRNA from 1 species